AGCUUUCCUCCAGCUUAAACUUUGGCAAAUGCACGCGAACGUCAGCGGAAUACAGAUGCUCUGGACGUGUCCAUUCCUGGAGCUUCUCUAAGGAACAGAACUGGCUGCAACCUAAAAAGCUGGCUGCAACAGAGUGGGAUGUCAUGAUAGUUACUGUAAACUAAGAACAUAGACCAGUGAUUCUUCUCCUGAGAACAAGAACAGCAGAAUUGAACAGGAAGAGAAAGGGUUUUUUGUGUUACACCCUUCAGGUGAGAGGCACAGAUACUCACAGCUAUGGAAAUGCACAUGACCCCACAACAUGCCAUCCUGAUGUGCACCACUGUACCUGAAGAAAGCUGUAGGACUUCUCUCCAAAGAGCCGACUGGCCAGCCGCAAGAGAUAGGGAGCAUUGCUUCUGUUUAUAUCCGUUGUCAGAUCCUGGAAUCUUGAAUGAACAUCUUCAACUUUGUCAAGAUGAAGCACCUGAAAUAAAAAGAAGUGAACUAGC